rnacentral:rRNA from 1 species
GACGAACGCUGGCGGCGUGCCUAAUACAUGCAAGUAGAACGCUGAAGCUUGGUGCUUGCACCGAGCGGAUGAGUUGCGAACGGGUGAGUAACGCGUAGGUAACCUGUCUGGUAGCGGGGGAUAACUAUUGGAAACGAUAGCUAAUACCGCAUAAGAGUAGAUGUUGCAUGACAUUUGCUUAAAAGGUGCAAUUGCAUCACUACCAGAUGGACCUGCGUUGUAUUAGCUAGUUGGUGAGGUAACGGCUCACCAAGGCAACGAUACAUAGCCGACCUGAGAGGGUGAUCGGCCACACUGGGACUGAGACACGGCCCAGACUCCUACGGGAGGCAGCAGUAGGGAAUCUUCGGCAAUGGACGGAAGUCUGACCGAGCAACGCCGCGUGAGUGAAGAAGGGUGUCGGAUCGUAAAGCUCUGUUGUAAGAGAAGAACGAGUGUGAGAGUGGAAAGUUCACACUGUGACGGUAGCUUACCAGAAAGGGACGGCUAACUACGUG